rnacentral:tRNA from 1 species
GGGCCCGUAGCUCAGUGGCAAAGCAACCGGUUUGCAUCCGGUAGACGGGAGUUCGAUUCUCCCCGGGUCCA